rnacentral:piRNA from 1 species
UGGGAUAGAAGGAAAUGCAGAUGAGGC